UAGGGUUCCGUACCCAAAGGGUAAAACGGGACCCUAUUACUAAGACUUCGCUGUCCGUCCGUCCGUCCGUCCGUCCGUCCGUCCGUCCGUCCGUCUGUCACCAGGCUGUAUCUCACGAACCGUGAUAGCUAGACAGUUGAAAUUUUCACAGAUGAUGUAUUUCUGUUGCCGCUAUAACAACAAAUACUAAAAACAGAAUAAAAUAAAGAUUUAAAUGGGGCUCCCAUACAACAAACGUGAUUUUUGACCAAAGUUAAGCAACGUCGGGAGUGGUCAGUACUUGGAUGGGUGACCGUUUUUUUUUGCUUUUUUUUUCGUUUUUUAUUUUUGCAUUAUGGUACGGAACCCUUCGUGCGCGAGUCCGACUCGCACUUGCCCGGUUUUUAAAAUAAGUAAUGUUAACUGAUAAUAAAAAAUAACAACAGUCAAGUAAUGUUCCCAUAGCUGCCAGAAAAGCGCCACUAUCACGCGCACAGCUAAUUUAUUAUUAGACCAAUAAAAGUACAUAAUAGCCAUAAUAGGUCAGAAAAUAUUAGAUACCUAAAUUAUUAAUAGGCCUAAAGCGAAUACGAUUUUUUUCUGUUUAGCUUUGGUAACAGCUAAACUUCUGGCAGAAAAUAAUCAUUACAUGCGUCAGUCCAAGAGUUAGUGCAAGACAUAAGCAAAGCAGUAAAUAUUAUUAUAUUCUACACAAUUAAUUAAUGACUACAGUGCCUACAGAUGUUAUGAUACAAUAAUGAUAAUGAAUUAUACACGGUGUAACAUGAGGAAACCGAAUAAUUUUAACCACGCAUUUCUGAGGUCAAAAGAAGCAAAAAAUGUACUAUGAGUUUAGGUCAAUUUCGCCAAAAAUUUUUUUUUUGUUUUGUUUUUUUCAAUUUUUUGAAUGUAUUUGUACAUUAAAAAUAAAUGUUAUGGGUAAACUUGUCACUGAAAAUUGAUUUUUACAUUUUUUUUUCGUAAAACCUACUUUUUGCAAAGUGUUACUUGUCACUUUUUGACAUCUAUCAAUAAGGAUAUUUAGACUACGUCCCAUAGCAGCAACAUCACCAUCAAAAAUGCCUUCUACACUAUGUAACAAUAAAAACUUGUUUUUAUUUAAAUUAAUAUUAUCUCUGAAACUAGGCGAAUUUCAUAAAAGUUUAUAGGACAUUUUUCUCUCUAAAUAUGAUCAGGAAUACGCUGUUAAAAUUAUUCGGUUCCCUCAUGUUACACCGUG